UGAUAGUGGCCACAAAAACCAAUCUAUAUCUGAUAAUAGAGAAAGCAAAUGAAUAGUGAAUGUAGUGUUGUUGUGGUCUGAUUGGACUAUUUGGAGGUGUUGGCCUCAUCAUCGUUCUCAAACAUGCGUCACCCAUACUUUUUUUCUUUCUUCUAAACUUAAUCCACAAACACGCGUUCUUUUCUCAGAGUAGAGAGGGGGAGAGAGAGAGAUUGAGAUUGACGACGGUGGUGGUAUCCGGCCGAUGACAGAGGCUUCUAGGGUUUCGAGGAGUGUCGACGAUUAAUGUUGGAGGAACAAAGAUGGUGGACCGACCGGCGGCGACGAAGACGACAACGAUAUGGAUUUUUCGAUGGUCGGUGAGAAGCUUAUCUGUUCAGUCUGUUCCGCAAGAUCUCUCGGUUUUCUUCCAUCGAAUUCCGAUCAUCCUGAGGUAACUUGAUCAUAUUGUUAUGUUAAUUGAUUCUGUUUCGAUCUAAUUAGCUCAGUGUAAUAACAGUUCAUGAUGAUUAUCAGUGAAAAUGUACGCAGGUUUAACUAUUAGGGUUAGUAUGUAACUUAGGUAUAUGAUUUUUGUUAGUGAGUUGUUAGAUUAAAGUUAUACACGCUCUGAUAUGCAACUCAGUGACUUGGAUAGAUUGUGUAAAGCUUCAUCGUGGUGUAAUUAGGUUUUGUUCGGUAUUUAAUUGGUAUUUUGGAGGCAAGUGGAUUGGGCAUUGGUAGCUUAUAGCAGGAAUUGUGUAUGUUGUGGUUUUAACUUUUAACAAUCUCUUCUUUAAGCUAAGCUCCACAAAGGAGAAAUAUUACAGAGUGCUCAAAGGCUAUAUAAACACGGUUUUGAUUUGUAUUUAAAAUCAAUAACACUUGUAGUUGAUCAAAUGUAUUUACUCAAGCAAAGAUAAUGCAAAUUAUCACUAAAAUAUGUGUUAUAAUUAUGUUACACGUCCCGGAGCGGGCUGCAGCUGCAACAACUAUAACUCGUGCGCUUGCUUCAAUCCUUCCGCAUCGAAGGCAUUAUAUAAUCUCUUCAAGCUAUGAAGAGCUUAGUUCUAUAUAUGGAAGUGAGCCUUCUAAUUAAUCACCGGAAGAACUUGAGGAAGAAUUUUAUGAAGAGGUUUGGUAUAUGUGCUUCUUUUGUUUUCUUUAGUUUUUUUAAUAAAUGGUUGAUUUUUAUGCAACAAUAUUUUAAAGAAAACACAGAUACGAAUAGUCUUACUUAUCAAACCAAAAAUGGGAUUUAUGUAAGGGGAUGUUGACUGGCAAGUGUAAUUAUUUCAGGGGUCAUGACUACAUGUAUUUGGCCAGAAUAAUAAAUAUGGUAAGAAGAGGACUUAAACUCUGAUUUUGGGUUUUAUCUACUUGCUGAAUAAGGCAUACCACAUACGACAAUCUUUUUGGUUUAGAUUAGAUUUAUGAGGUAUAUUUUUCUUCACAUUUAACCACAACUGUUGUCGCUAAAAUGCAAUCGUAACGGUUUUUGCACUUUGUUCCCACUCACUUGAUGUUACAAAAGUUGGUGUUUUUUAGCAUUUUUAUUACUCUUUUUAAAAAUUUAUAGUGUUUAUCACAAGAUAUAAAGAAAUGUUAGUUAAUCUUAUGAAAAAAUGUCAACAGCGAACAUAUAUAUGUGAAGAAAGAAAAUGUUAUAAGAAUUAAACUUAUGUGUGAUUACAUGGUUAUGCAUAAACGGUGACAUGUAUGAUGGCGAGUACUUUGUAGACAAAAUGCAUUGGGUGAAAGUGAAACGGGUCAAACUGGUUGAAGGUUGUUAGCAUGUCAUUAAUUUGUUGUACCCAACCCGGACCUACCCAUUACUUGACCCGUCUACUAUGCCACCGCUACUUCUUCAUAGAAAAUGCCAGUAGAUCUGUGUUUUUUGUUCUGUAACAGGUCCAACAUUUUUAAAACUAAAGCUAGCAUUGAAUUGAACAACAACUUUGAGAGAAUGAGGUUACAUUAACCAUGUGGUCGACUUGAUUUUCCACAUGGUAAAGUUUUGAAGUUAUUAUAGCACGAGUUAGCGGGCUUGUCACGAGCACAGUUUUGCCUACCACGUUGUGAUUAUCACCAUCGAUUAAGAAAUUUGUAGGGCUUACAAGUGGUACUUGCAGUUCAGAGAAGAAUACCAGGUUCCAUUUGAUGGAGGUUGGGCGAGCGAAUGUGUGUGGCUUAACAACAAAGGGUGAAUAUGGAGUAAAAAUAGUGAUCGAGAUGUUGAAGGAUGAACUAGAGUUCACAAUAGCUCUUUCCGGCUGCCCCACUCUCAACGGUAUUACCAGGAACCAUAUUAGAACUUAGGUAAUCGUCAUUGUAGAUUGUAGUUUUAAAUCAUUUUAUGAAGAAUCAUUUGAUAUUGGUUUUUAUAAUCUAGAAUAAUAAAAUUUAAAGUACUAAUGAAUCUACACUAGAUUUGAUUUGUAUUGGAAAAUAAAAAUAGUUGCUUUGUUCA